UGGUCUGAGAGGAUGGUCACCCACACUGGGACUGAGACACUGCCCAGACUCCUACGGGAGGCUGCAGUCGAGAAUCAUCCGCAAUGGGCGAAAGCCUGACGGUGCAGUGCCGCGUGGGGGAUGAAGGCCUUCGGGUCGUAAACCCCUGUCACAAGGGACGAAGCAAGUGACGGUACCUUCAGAGCGAAGCCACGGAUAACUACGUGCCAGCAGCCGCGGUAACACGUAGGUGGCGAGCGUUAUUCGGAUUUACUGGGCGUAAAGGGUCCGCAGGGGGUUUGCCGAGUCCGGUGUGAAAUUCCAGGGCUCAACCCUGGAACUGCGCCGGAUACUGGUGAACUGGAGUGCGCGAAGGGCAGGCGGAAUUCCUGGUGUAGCGGUGGAAUGCGUGGAUAUCAGGAAGAACACCGACGGCGAGAGCAGCCUGCUGGCGCGCCACUGACCCUCAUGGACGAAAGCGCGGGUAGCGAACAGGAUUAGAUACCCUGGUAGUCCACGCCGUAAACGGUGCAGACCCGAUGCGGGGGGCAGCCCCCUCCGUGUCCAAGCCAACGCGUUAAGUCUGCCGCCUGGGGACUACGGUCGCAAGGCUAAAACUCAAAGGAAUUGACGGGGGCCCGCACAAGCGGUGGAGCAUGUGGCUUAAUUCGAGGCAACGCGAAGAACCUUACCCGGACUUGACAUCGAGCGACCGGCGUGGAAACACGCCUUUCCCUUCGGGGACGCGAAGACAGGUGCUGCAUGGCUGUCGUCAGCUCGUGCCGUGAGGUGUUCGGUUAAGUCCGGCAACGAGCGCAACCCGUAUUGUCAGUUGCCAUCAGGUAAAGCUGGACACUCUGGCGAGACUGCCCGUGUCAAUCGGGAGGAAGGCGCGGAUGACGUCAAGUCCGUAUGGCCCUUACGUCCGGGACUGCACACGUGCUACAAUGGCCGGCACAGCGGG
rnacentral:rRNA from 1 species